UCGGGAGCUAUUUACUGGCCAAAUCACGCUGUGUUGGUGCUCAAGUAGUGGCACUGACCAUGCAGAUGAUUCUGGUCCACAUCGAAAGAGGGUUAAUGCAGGUCGUGGCCAAGGAUGUAUUAAUCUUGUUUUUACAUGAUUCAAGAUUUGAAUCAAUGAUGUAUUUUUUGACCACUUGAUAGAAGGCUCGCUUUUGGCAGGCCGUUUAGCGCCGAAUUCCGUGAAAUCGCUUUUUCAGCUUUGUAGUGCGUUGGAACUCUCACCUCGGAGAGUGUCCCGUUCAAUCUGAUUGUCUUACCGGGCGUCGAGAUCUCGUCAAAGAAAAAUCGUGGCCUGUAUUUCAAGUGACCAAAAAAUAGUUUGCAGUUAAAGUUAGAUGAAGUCCAAUUAUUCUUGAUCGCUGCUUGCUUUAAACCUCUUUCGGGUCCUAGUCACCCAACUGUUCGGGAGCUAUAUACCAUUUCUGUGAGCCUCUUUCGGGAGCUAUUUACUGGCCAAAUCACGCUGUGUUGGUGCUCAAGUAGUAGCACUGACCAUGCAGAUGAUUCUGGUCCACAUCGAAAGAGGGUUAAUGCAGGUCGUGGCCAAGGAUGUAUUAAUCUUGUUUUUACAUGAUUCAAGAUUUGAAUCAAUGAUGUAUUUUUUGACCACUUGAUAGAAGGCUCGCUUUUGGCAGGCCGUUUAGCGCCGAAUUCCGUGAAAUCGCUUUUUCAGCUUUGUAGUGCGUUCGAACUCUCACCUCGGACAGUGUCCCGUUCAAUCUGAUUGUCUUACCGGGCGUCGAGAUCUCGUCAAAGAAAAAUCGUGGCCUGUAUUUCAAGUGACCAAAAAAUAGUUUGCAGUUAAAGUUAGAUGAAGUCCAAUUAUUCUUGAUCGCUGCUUGCUUUAAACCUCUUUCGGGUCCUAGUCACCCAACUGUUCGGGAGCUAUAUACCAUUUCUGUGAGCCUCUUUCGGGAGCUAUUUACUGGCCAAAUCACGCUGUGUUGGUGCUCAAGUAGUGGCACUGACCAUGCAGAUGAUUCUGGUCCACAUCGAAAGAGGGUUAAUGCAGGUCGUGGCCAAGGAUGUAUUAAUCUUGUUUUUACAUGAUUCAAGAUUUGAAUCAAUGAUGUAUUUUUUGACCACUUGAUAGAAGGCUCGCUUUUGGCAGGCCGUUUAGCGCCGAAUUCCGUGAAAUCGCUUUUUCAGCUUUGUAGUGCGUUCGAACUCUCACCUUGGAGAGUGUCCCGUUCAAUCUGAUUGUCUUACCGGGCGUCGAGAUCUCGUCAAAGAAAAAUCGUGGCCUGUAUUUCAAGUGACCAAAAAAUAGUUUGCAGUUAAAGUUAGAUGAAGUCCAAUUAUUCUUGAUCGCUGCUUGCUUUAAACCUCUUUCGGGUCCUAGUCACCCAACUGUUCGGGAGCUAUAUACCAUUUCUGUGAGCCUCUUUCGGGAGCUAUUUACUGGCCAAAUCACGCUGUGUUGGUGCUCAAGUAGUGGCACUGACCAUGCAGAUGAUUCUGGUCCACAUCGAAAGAGGGUUAAUGCAGGUCGUGGCCAAGGAUGUAUUAAUCUUGUUUUUACAUGAUUCAAGAUUUGAAUCAAUGAUGUAUUUUUUGACCACUUGAUAGAAGGCUCGCUUUUGGCAGGCCGUUUAGCGCCGAAUUCCGUGAAAUCGCUUUUUCAGCUUUGUAGUGCGUUGGAACUCUCACCUCGGAGAGUGUCCCGUUCAAUCUGAUUGUCUUACCGGGCGUCGAGAUCUCGUCAAAGAAAAAUCGUGGCCUGUAUUUCAAGUGACCAAAAAAUAGUUUGCAGUUAAAGUUAGAUGAAGUCCAAUUAUUCUUGAUCGCUGCUUGCUUUAAACCUCUUUCGGGUCCUAGUCACCCAACUGUUCGGGAGCUAUAUACCAUUUCUGUGAGCCUCUUUCGGGAGCUAUUUACUGGCCAAAUCACGCUGUGUUGGUGCUCAAGUAGUGGCACUGACCAUGCAGAUGAUUCUGGUCCACAUCGAAAGAGGGUUAAUGCAGGUCGUGGCCAAGGAUGUAUUAAUCUUGUUUUUACAUGAUUCAAGAUUUGAAUCAAUGAUGUAUUUUUUGACCACUUGAUAGAAGGCUCGCUUUUGGCAGGCCGUUUAGCGCCGAAUUCCGUGAAAUCGCUUUUUCAGCUUUGUAGUGCGUUCGAACUCUCACCUCGGAGAGUGUCCCGUUCAAUCUGAUUGUCUUACCGGGCGUCGAGAUCUCGUCAAAGAAAAAUCGUGGCCUGUAUUUCAAGUGACCAAAAAAUAGUUUGCAGUUAAAGUUAGAUGAAGUCCAAUUAUUCUUGAUCGCUGCUUGCUUUAAACCUCUUUCGAGUCCUAGUCACCCAACUGUUCGGGAGCUAUAUACCAUUUCUGUGAGCCUCUUUCGGGAGCUAUUUACUGGCCAAAUCACGCUGUGUUGGUGCUCAAGUAGUGGCACUGACCAUGCAGAUGAUUCUGGUCCACAUCGAAAGAGGGUUAAUGCAGGUCGUGGCCAAGGAUGUAUUAAUCUUGUUUUUACAUGAUUCAAGAUUUGAAUCAAUGAUGUAUUUUUUGACCACUUGAUAGAAGGCUCGCUUUUGGCAGGCCGUUUAGCGCCGAAUUCCGUGAAAUCGCUUUUUCAGCUUUGUAGUGCGUUGGAACUCUCACCUCGGAGAGUGUCCCGUUCAAUCUGAUUGUCUUACCGGGCGUCGAGAUCUCGUCAAAGAAAAAUCGUGGCCUGUAUUUCAAGUGACCAAAAAAUAGUUUGCAGUUAAAGUUAGAUGAAGUCCAAUUAUUCUUGAUCGCUGCUUGCUUUAAACCUCUUUCGGGUCCUAUUCACCCAACUGUUCGGGAGCUAUAUACCAUUUCUGUGAGCCUCUUUCGGGAGCUAUUUACUGGCCAAAUCACGCUGUGUUGGUGCUCAAGUAGUAGCACUGACCAUGCAGAUGAUUCUGGUCCACAUCGAAAGAGGGUUAAUGCAGGUCGUGGCCAAGGAUGUAUUAAUCUUGUUUUUACAUGAUUCAGGAUUUGAAUCAAUGAUGUAUUUUUUGACCACUUGAUAGAAGGCUCGCUUUUGGCAGGCCGUUUAGCGCCGAAUUCCGUGAAAUCGCUUUUUCAGCUUUGUAGUGCGUUGGAACUCUCACCUCGGAGAGUGUCCCGUUCAAUCUGAUUGUCUUACCGGGCGUCGAGAUCUCGUCAAAGAAAAAUCGUGGCCUGUAUUUCAAGUGACCAAAAAAUAGUUUGCAGUUAAAGUUAGAUGAAGUCCAAUUAUUCUUGAUCGCUGCUUGCUUUAAACCUCUUUCGGGUCCUAGUCACCCAACUGUUCGGGAGCUAUAUACCAUUUCUGUGAGCCUCUUUCGGGAGCUAUUUACUGGCCAAAUCACGCUGUGUUGGUGCUCAAGUAGUGGCACUGACCAUGCAGAUGAUUCUGGUCCACAUCGAAAGAGGGUUAAUGCAGGUCGUGGCCAAGGAUGUAUUAAUCUUGUUUUUACAUGAUUCAAGAUUUGAAUCAAUGAUGUAUUUUUUGACCACUUGAUAGAAGGCUCGCUUUUGGCAGGCCGUUUAGCGCCGAAUUCCGUGAAAUCGCUUUUUCAGCUUUGUAGUGCGUUGGAACUCUCACCUCGGAGAGUGUCCCGUUCAAUCUGAUUGUCUUACCGGGCGUCGAGAUCUCGUCAAAGAAAAAUCGUGGCCUGUAUUUCAAGUGACCAAAAAAUAGUUUGCAGUUAAAGUUAGAUGAAGUCCAAUUAUUCUUGAUCGCUGCUUGCUUUAAACCUCUUUCGGGUCCUAGUCACCCAACUGUUCGGGAGCUAUAUACCAUUUCUGUGAGCCUCUUUCGGGAGCUAUUUACUGGCCAAAUCACGCUGUGUUGGUGCUCAAGUAGUGGCACUGACCAUGCAGAUGAUUCUGGUCCACAUCGAAAGAGGGUUAAUGCAGGUCGUGGCCAAGGAUGUAUUAAUCUUGUUUUUACAUGAUUCAAGAUUUGAAUCAAUGAUGUAUUUUUUGACCACUUGAUAGAAGGCUCGCUUUUGGCAGGCCGUUUAGCGCCGAAUUCUGUGAAAUCGCUUUUUCAGCUUUGUAGUGCGUUGGAACUCUCACCUCGGAGAGUGUCCCGUUCAAUCUGAUUGUCUUACCGGGCGUCGAGAUCUCAUCAAAGAAAAAUCGUGGCCUGUAUUUCAAGUGACCAAAAAAUAGUUUGCAGUUAAAGUUAGAUGAAGUCCAAUUAUUCUUGAUCGCUGCUUGCUUUAAACCUCUUUCGAGUCCUAGUCACCCAACUGUUCGGGAGCUAUAUACCAUUUCUGUGAGCCUCUUUCGGGAGCUAUUUACUGGCCAAAUCACGCUGUGUUGGUGCUCAAGUAGUGGCACUGACCAUGCAGAUGAUUCUGGUCCACAUCGAAAGAGGGUUAAUGCAGGUCGUGGCCAAGGAUGUAUUAAUCUUGUUUUUACAUGAUUCAAGAUUUGAAUCAAUGAUGUAUUUUUUGACCACUUGAUAGAAGGCUUGCUUUUGGCAGGCCGUUUAGCGCCGAAUUCCGUGAAAUCGCUUUUUCAGCUUUGUAGUGCGUUGGAACUCUCACCUCGGAGAGUGUCCCGUUCAAUCUGAUUGUCUUACCGGGCGUCGAGAUCUUGUCAAAGAAAAAUCGUGGCCUCAGAGAGUGUCAGGUUCAGUCUGAUCGUUCGUCUUACCGGACAUCAAGAUCUCAUCAAAGAAAAAUCGUGGCAUCUAUUUCAAGUGACCAAAAAAUUCAUUGCAAUUAAAGUUAGGUAGCCUGUAGCAUCCCUCCUCAUUAUUAGUAUUGUAAUUGUGUUCAGAAUUAUUAUUGUUUUUAUUUAGAGUGUGGUGUUUCUUUACUACUACCACCACCACCACUACCACCACUAUUACUACUACUACUACUAGUAUUACUGCUGCUGGCACUACUACUACUAACAGCACUACUACUACUACUACUACUACUAUUAUUAUUAUUAUUAUUAUUAUUAUUAUUAUUAUUAUUAUUAUUAUUAUUAUUAUUAUUAUUAAGCACUACUACUACUACUACUACUGUUACUAUUACUACUGCUGCUGCCACUACUACUACAACUACUUUUAUUAACUACUACUACUACUACUACUACUACUACUACUACUACUACUACUACUACUACUACUACUACUUUUACUACUACUACUACUUUUACUACUACUACUACUAACAGCACCACCACUACUACUACUACUACUACUACUACUACUACUACUACUACUACUACUACUACUACUACUACUUUUAUUACUACUACUACCACUACUACUACUUUUACUACUACUACUACUACUACUACUACUUUUAUUACUACUACUACUACUACUACUACUACUACUACUACUACUACUACUACUACUACCACUACUUUUACUACUACUACUACUACUACUUUUAUUACUACUACUACUACUACUACUACUACUACUACUAUAUUACUAGUUUUAAAUAUGCACACAGAAUGAGAGAGAGAGAGAGAGAGAGAGAGAGAGAGAGAGAGAGAGAGAGAGAGAGAGAGAGAGAGAGAGAGAGAGAGAGAGAUUUAAGCCCCAAACAGAAUGGUGUUUAAUGUUCAUGUAUUUGGUAUCAUAUUGGUUUACUCAUUAUUAUUAUUAUUAUUAUUAUUAUUAUUAUUGUUAUUAUUAUUAUUAUUAUUAUUAUUAUUAUUAUUAUUAUUAUUAUUAUUAUUAUGUUGUUGUUGUUGUUGUUGUUGUUGUUGUUGUUGUUGUUGUUAUUGUCAUCAUCAUCAUUCUCAUCAUUACUAUUACCAUUAUCAUGAUUUUUUGUGAAUGAUUACAUCUGGAGAUGCAAGUCUAUAAGGGAAGGUGCAAGAAUCUGUCAGGUAUACAUAUGACAGGUCCUUUUUCAUUGUUAUUUUUUCAUUGUAGUAGUAGUAUUAGUAGUAGUAGUAGUAAUGAUUGAUGUUUACUUUUUUUCCUGUUGUUAUCUGGGAAAAUUCUUGUAUUGUUAUUAUUGUUAUUAUUAUUAUUAUUAUUAUUAUUAUUAUUAUUAUUAUUAUUAUUAUUAUUGUUGUUGUUAUUAUUAUUAUGCUUGCCAGAAUACCUCAAAUAUAAUAUUGUUAUGUUUAUUAUUAUUAUUGUUAUUAUUAUUAUUAUUGUUGUUAUUGUGUACUCCUGAAUGCCAUCCUCUGUAAUUGUAUUUUCGAGCGCCGUUCUAUAAUUGUAUUCCCAAGCGUCGUUCCGUCGUCGUAUUCCCAAGCGUUGUUCCGUCGUCGUAUUCCCAAGUGUUGUUCCGUCGUCGUAUUCCCAAGGGUUGUUCCGUCGUCGUAUUCCCAAGCGUUGUUCCGUCGUCGUAUUCCCAAGUGUCGUUCCGUCGUCGUAUUCCCAAGCGUCGUUCCGUCGUCGUAUUCCCAAGCGUUGUUCCGUCGUCGUAUUCCCAAGUGUUGUUCCGUCGUCGUAUUCCCAAGUGUUGUUCCGUCGUCGUAUUCCCAAGUGUUGUUCCGUCGUCGUAUUCCCAAGCGUCGUUCCGUCAUCGUAUUCCCAAGUGUUGUUCCGUCAUCGUAUUCCCAAGUGUCGUUCCGUCGUCGUAUUCCCAAGCGUCGUUCCGUCGUCGUAUUCCCAAGCGUCGUUCCGUCGUCAUAUUGCCAAGCGUCGUUCCGUUGUCGUAUUCCCAAGCGUCGUUCCGUAGUUGUAUUCCCAAGCGCCGUUCUAUAGUUGUAUUUCCGAGUUUUGUUCCAUAUUCCCGAGCGUCAUUUCAUAGGCGUAUUCCCAGAGGCAAAGGAAGAGUGCCUCCCAGGCAAAAGCCAGGGUUUUCACUGGCCUGGGAACGUAAAAACCCCUCAUCUCUGAUACCUUCGUUAUUAAGUGUUAUUAAUAGAUGAUGAUGCCCUUGCCUGAUGUGGGAGGUAAGCCAGGUGAGGGUGUCAGUGCCUUGCCUUGCCAGAAAUAGAUGUGAUGGUUAGUACUGACGAGCCUAGGGUCUAUUAUUAUCAUCAUUAUUAUGUUUUUUGUUGCCACUUAUUACCCUUCAUAUUAUUAUUAUUAUUAUUAUUAUUAUUAUUAUUAUUAUUAUUAUUAUAGUUGAAUUUUUUUUUAUUUGUCUUUUUCCUAAGCGUUGUUCCGUCAUAUUCUCAAGCAUCGUUCUGUAGUUAUAUUUCCAAGUUUCGUUCCAUAUUCCCAAGCGCCACUCCAUAGUUGUAUUUCUGAGUUUUGUUCCAUGUUCCUGAGCGUCAUUCCAUUGUAUUCCUGAACAUCGUUUUGUAAUUGUAUUUCUGAGCAUCAGUCAUUCUUUAGUUGUAUUCCAGGGAACCUGAAGCAAGACAGAACUCCAGAGGCAAAGGAAGAGUGCCUCCCAGGCAAAAGCCAGGGUUUUCACUGGCCUGGGAACGUAAAAACCCCUCAUCUCUGAUACCUUCAUUAUUAAGUGUUAUUAAUAGAUGAUGAUGCCCUUGCCUGAUGUGGGAGGUAAGCCAGGUGAGGGUGUCAGUGCCUUGCCUUGCCAGAAAUAGUGAUGGUUAGUACUGACGAACCCAGGGUCUAUUAUUAUUAUCAUUGUUAUGUUUUUUGUUGCCACUUGUUUAUUACCAUUCAUAUUAUUAUUAUUGUUAUUAUUAUUACGUAUUAUAGUUUAAUUUUUUUUUAUUUCAGUCUUUUUCCCAAACGUUGUUCUGUCGUAUUCUCAAGCAUCGUUCUGUAGUUGUAUUUCCAAGUUUCGUUCCAUAUUCCUGAGCGUCAUUCCGUAGUUGUUCCCAAGCGCCACUCCAUAGUUGUAUUUCAGAGUUUCGUUCCAUAUUCCUGAGCGUCAUUCCAUAGUUGUAUUUCUGAGCAUCAGUCAUUCUGUAGUUGUAUUCCAGAGAACCUGAAGCAAGACAGAACUCCAGAGGCAAAGGAAGAGUGCCUCCCAGGCAAAAGCCAGGGUUUUCACUGGCCUGGGAACGUAAAAACCCCUCAUCUCUGAUACCUUCGUUAUUAAGUGUUAUUAAUAGAUGAUGCCCUUGCCUGAUGUGAGAGGUAAGCUAGGCGAGGGUGUCAGUGCCUUGCCUUGCCAGAAAUAGAUGUGAUGGUUAGUACUGACGAGCCCAGGGUCUAUUAUUAUCAUCAUUACUAUGUUUUUUGUUGCCACUUAUUUAUUACCCUUCAUAAUAUUAUUAUUAUUAUUAUUAUUAUGUAUUAUAGUUGAAUUUUUUUUUAUUUGUCUUUCCUAAGCGUUGUUCCGUCAUAUUCUCAAGCAUCGUUCUGUAGUUAUAUUUCCAAGUUUCGUUCCAUAUUCCCAAGCGCCACUCCAUAGUUGUAUUUCUGAGUUUUGUUCCAUGUUCCUGAGCGUCAUUCCUUUGUUGUAUUCCUGAACAUCGUUUUUUAAUUGUAUUUUUCUGAGCAUCAGUCAUGCUUUAGUUGUAUUCCAGGGAACCUGAAGCAAGACAGAACUCCAGAGGCAAAGGAAGAGUGCCUCCCAGGCAAAAGCCAGGGUUUUCACUGGCCUGGGAACGUAAAAACCCCUCAUCUCUGAUACCUUCGUUAUUAAGUGUUAUUAAUAGAUGAUGAUGCCCUUGCCUGAUGUGGGAGGUAAGCCAGGUGAGGGUGUCAGUGCCUUGCCUUGCCAGAAAUAGAUGUGAUGGUUAGUACUGACGAACCCAGGGUCUAUUAUUAUUAUCAUUGUUAUGUUUUUUGUUGCCACUUGUUUAUUACCAUUCAUAUUAUUAUUAUUGUUAUUAUUAUUACGUAUUAUAGUUUAAUUUUUUUUAUUUCAGUCUUUUUCCCAAACGUUGUUCUGUCGUAUUCUCAAGCAUCGUUCUGUAGUUGUAUUUCCAAGUUUCGUUCCAUAUUCCCGAGCGUCAUUCUGUAGUUGUUCCCAAGCGCCACUCCAUAGUUGUAUUUCAGAGUUUCGUUCCAUAUUCCUGAGCGUCAUUCCAUAGUUGUAUUUCUGAGCAUCAGUCAUUCUGUAGUUGUAUUCCAGAGAACCUGAAGCAAGACAGAACUCCAGAGGCAAAGGAAGAGUGCCUCCCAGGCAAAAGCCAGGGUUUUCACUGGCCUGGGAACGUAAAAACCCCUCAUCUCUGAUACCUUCAUUAUUAAGUGUUAUUAAUAGAUGAUGAUGCCCUUGCCUGAUGUGGGAGGUAAGCCAGGUGAGGGUGUCAGUGCCUUGCCUUGCCAGAAAUAGUGAUGGUUAGUACUGACGAACCCAGGGUCUAUUAUUAUUAUCAUUGUUAUGUUUUUUGUUGCCACUUGUUUAUUACCAUUCAUAUUAUUAUUAUUGUUAUUAUUAUUACGUAUUAUAGUUUAAUUUUUUUUUAUUUCAGUCUUUUUCCCAAACGUUGUUCUGUCGUAUUCUCAAGCAUCGUUCUGUAGUUGUAUUUCCAAGUUUCGUUCCAUAUUCCUGAGCGUCAUUCCGUAGUUGUUCCCAAGCGCCACUCCAUAGUUGUAUUUCAGAGUUUCGUUCCAUAUUCCUGAGCGUCAUUCCAUAGUUGUAUUUCUGAGCAUCAGUCAUUCUGUAGUUGUAUUCCAGAGAACCUGAAGCAAGACAGAACUCCAGAGGCAAAGGAAGAGUGCCUCCCAGGCAAAAGCCAGGGUUUUCACUGGCCUGGGAACGUAAAAACCCCUCAUCUCUGAUACCUUCAUUAUUAAGUGUUAUUAAUAGAUGAUGAUGCCCUUGCCUGAUGUGGGAGGUAAGCCAGGUGAGGGUGUCAGUGCCUUGCCUUGCCAGAAAUAGUGAUGGUUAGUACUGACGAACCCAGGGUCUAUUAUUAUUAUCAUUGUUAUGUUUUUUGUUGCCACUUGUUUAUUACCAUUCAUAUUAUUAUUAUUGUUAUUAUUAUUACGUAUUAUAGUUUAAUUUUUUUUUAUUUCAGUCUUUUUCCCAAACGUUGUUCUGUCGUAUUCUCAAGCAUCGUUCUGUAGUUGUAUUUCCAAGUUUCGUUCCAUAUUCCUGAGCGUCAUUCCGUAGUUGUUCCCAAGCGCCACUCCAUAGUUGUAUUUCAGAGUUUCGUUCCAUAUUCCUGAGCGUCAUUCCAUAGUUGUAUUUCUGAGCAUCAGUCAUUCUGUAGUUGUAUUCCAGAGAACCUGAAGCAAGACAGAACUCCAGAGGCAAAGGAAGAGUGCCUCCCAGGCAAAAGCCAGGGUUUUCACUGGCCUGGGAACGUAAAAACCCCUCAUCUCUGAUACCUUCGUUAUUAAGUGUUAUUAAUAGAUGAUGCCCUUGCCUGAUGUGAGAGGUAAGCUAGGCGAGGGUGUCAGUGCCUUGCCUUGCCAGAAAUAGAUGUGAUGGUUAGUACUGACGAGCCCAGGGUCUAUUAUUAUCAUCAUUACUAUGUUUUUUGUUGCCACUUAUUUAUUACCCUUCAUAAUAUUAUUAUUAUUAUUAUUAUUAUGUAUUAUAGUUGAAUUUUUUUUUAUUUGUCUUUCCUAAGCGUUGUUCCGUCAUAUUCUCAAGCAUCGUUCUGUAGUUAUAUUUCCAAGUUUCGUUCCAUAUUCCCAAGCGCCACUCCAUAGUUGUAUUUCUGAGUUUUGUUCCAUGUUCCUGAGCGUCAUUCCUUUGUUGUAUUCCUGAACAUCGUUUUUUAAUUGUAUUUUUCUGAGCAUCAGUCAUGCUUUAGUUGUAUUCCAGGGAACCUGAAGCAAGACAGAACUCCAGAGGCAAAGGAAGAGUGCCUCCCAGGCAAAAGCCAGGGUUUUCACUGGCCUGGGAACGUAAAAACCCCUCGUCUCUGAUACCUUCGUUAUUAAGUGUUAUUAAUAGAUGAUGAUGCCCUUGCCUGAUGUGGGAGGUAAGCCAGGUGAGGGUGUCAGUGCCUUGCCUUGCCAGAAAUAGAUGUGAUGGUUAGUACUGACGAACCCAGGGUCUAUUAUUAUUAUCAUUGUUAUGUUUUUUGUUGCCACUUGUUUAUUACCAUUCAUAUUAUUAUUAUUGUUAUUAUUAUUACGUAUUAUAGUUUAAUUUUUUUUAUUUCAGUCUUUCCCAAACGUUGUUCUGUCGUAUUCUCAAGCAUCGUUCUGUAGUUGUAUUUCCAAGUUUCGUUCCAUAUUCCCGAGCGUCAUUCUGUAGUUGUUCCCAAGCGCCACUCCAUAGUUGUAUUUCAGAGUUUCGUUCCAUAUUCCUGAGCGUCAUUCCAUAGUUGUAUUUCUGAGCAUCAGUCAUUCUGUAGUUGUAUUCCAGAGAACCUGAAGCAAGACAGAACUCCAGAGGCAAAGGAAGAGUGCCUCCCAGGCAAAAGCCAGGGUUUUCACUGGCCUGGGAACGUAAAAACCCCUCAUCUCUGAUACCUUCAUUAUUAAGUGUUAUUAAUAGAUGAUGAUGCCCUUGCCUGAUGUGGGAGGUAAGCCAGGCGAGGGUGUCAGUGCCUUGCCUUGCCAGAAAUAGAUGUGAUGGUUAGUACUGACGAGCCCAGGGUCUAUUAUUAUCAUCAUUAUUAUGUUUUUUGUUGCCACUUAUUUAUUACCCUUCAUGAUAUUAUUAUUAUUAUUAUUAUUAUGUAUUAUAGUUGAAUUUUUUUUUAUUUGUCUUUCCUAAGCGUUGUUCCGUCAUAUUCUCAAGCAUCGUUCUGUAGUUAUAUUUCCAAGUUUCGUUCCAUAUUCCCAAGCGCCACUCCAUAGUUGUAUUUCUGAGUUUUGUUCCAUGUUCCUGAGCGUCAUUCCUUUGUUGUAUUCCUGAACAUCGUUUUUUAAUUGUAUUUCUGAGCAUCAGUCAUUCUUUAGUUGUAUUCCAGGGAACCUGAAGCAAGACAGAACUCCAGAGGCAAAGGAAGAGUGCCUCCCAGGCAAAAGCCAGGGUUUUCACUGGCCUGGGAACGUAAAAACCCCUCAUCUCUGAUACCUUCGUUAUUAAGUGUUAUUAAUAGAUGAUGAUGCCCUUGCCUGAUGUGGGAGGUAAGCCAGGUGAGGGUGUCAGUGCCUUGCCUUGCCAGAAAUAGAUGUGAUGGUUAGUACUGACGAACCCAGGGUCUAUUAUUAUUAUCAUUGUUAUGUUUUUUGUUGCCACUUGUUUAUUACCAUUCAUAUUAUUAUUAUUGUUAUUAUUAUUACGUAUUAUAGUUUAAUUUUUUUUUAUUUCAGUCUUUUUCCCAAACGUUGUUCUGUCGUAUUCUCAAGCAUCGUUCUGUAGUUGUAUUUCCAAGUUUCGUUCCAUAUUCCUGAGCGUCAUUCCGUAGUUGUUCCCAAGCGCCACUCCAUAGUUGUAUUUCAGAGUUUCGUUCCAUAUUCCUGAGCGUCAUUCCAUAGUUGUAUUUCUGAGCAUCAGUCAUUCUGUAGUUGUAUUCCAGAGAACCUGAAGCAAGACAGAACUCCAGAGGCAAAGGAAGAGUGCCUCCCAGGCAAAAGCCAGGGUUUUCACUGGCCUGGGAACGUAAAAACCCCUCAUCUCUGAUACCUUCGUUAUUAAGUGUUAUUAAUAGAUGAUGAUGCCCUUGCCUGAUGUGAGAGGUAAGCCAGGCGAGGGUGUCAGUGCCUUGCCUUGCCAGAAAUAGAUGUGAUGGUUAGUACUGACGAACCCAGGGUCUAUUAUUAUUAUCAUUGUUAUGUUAUUUGUUGCCACUUGUUUAUUACUCUUCAUAUUAUUAUUAUUGUUAUUAUUAUUACGUAUUAUAGUUGAUUUUUUUUUUAUUUCAGUCUUUCCCAAGCGUUGUUCUGUCGUAUUCUCAAGCAUCGUUCUGUAGUUGUAUUUCCAAGUUUCGUUCCAUGUUCCCAAGCGUCGUUCCGUAGUUGUUCCCAAGCGCCACUCCAUAGUUGUAUUUCAGAGUUUCGUUCCAUAUUCCUGAGCGUCAUUCUGUUGUUGUAUUCUCGAACGUUUUAUAAUUGUAUUUCCGAACAUCAGUCAUUCUGUAGUUGUAUUCCAGAGAACCUGAAGCAAGAAAACUCCAGAGGCAAAGGAAGAGGGCCUCCCAGGCAAAAGCCAGGGUUUUCACUGGCCUGGGAACGUAAAAACCUCUCAUCUCUGAUCGUUAUUAAGUGUUAUUUUUUACAGAUGAUGAUGCCCUUGCCUGAUGUGAGAGGUAAGCCAGGCGAGGGUGUCAGUGCCUAGCCUUGCCAGAAAUAGAUGUGAUGGUUAGUACUGACGAACCCAGGGUCUAUUUUUAUUAUUAUCAUUAUUAUGUUUUUUCUUGCCACUUAUUUAUUACCCUUCAUAUUGUUGUUAUCAUUAUUGUUAUUAUGUAUUAUAGUUAAUUUUUUUUUCAGUCUUAUUCCCAAGUGUCAUAUUCCCAAGCGUUGUUCUGUCGUUGUAUUCCCAAGCGUCAUUCCGUCGUCGUAUUCCCAAGUAUUGUUCCGUCGUCGUAUUUUCAGUCUUCCGAAGUGUCGUUCUGUUGUAUUUCCAAGUGUCAUAUUCCCAAGCGUUGUUCUGUCGUUGUAUUCCCAAGCGUCAUUCCGUUGUCGUAUUCCCAAGUGUUGUUCCGUCGUCGUAUUCCCAAGCGUCGUUCCGUAGUUGUAUUCCCAAGCGCCGUUCCAUAGUUGUAUUUCCAAGUUUUGUUCCAUAUUCCCGAGCGUCGUUCUGUUGUAUUCCCGAACGUUGUUUUGUAAUUAUUUCCGAAUAUCAGUCAUUCUGUAGUUGUAUUCCAAGGAACCUGAAGCAAGACAGAACUCCAGAGGCAAAGGAAGAGUGCCUCCCAGGCAAAAGCCAGGGUUUUCACUGGCCUGGGAACGUAAAAACCCCUCAUCUCUGAUACCUUCGUUAUUAAGUGUUAUUAAUAGAUGAUGUCCUUGCCUGAUGUGAGAGGUAAGCUAGGCGAGGGUGUCAGUGCCUAGCCUUGCCAGAAAUAGAUCUAUUAUCACUAUUGUCAUUAUUAUAUUUUUUGUUGCCAUUUAUUUAUCACCUUUAAUAUCGUUAUCAUUAUUGUUGUUAUGUAUUAUAGUUGAUUUUUUUUUCUUGUGCAUUUAUUUUUACUACUACUACUAUUAUAUAUUUUGUAAUUGCUGUUACUAUCGUUGUUUAUUAUAAUUAUGAUCUGCACCUAUACUCUUCACCUGUUAUAAAAUAUAUAGCCUCACCUAGUAUGACUAUAUCCCAAGCACAGUGCUACAUGGACCCUGUGGCCUGUAGCAUUCCUCCAGAUUAUUAGGAUUAUAAUUGUGUUCAGAAUUAUUAGUUUUUAUUUAGAAUGUUGUUUACUACUAUUAUUACUACUACUACUACCAUUAUUAGAGUUUAUAUGAUGUUUUUAAAAUGUUAUAUAUUG